rnacentral:rRNA from 1 species
UACGUAGGGUGCGAGCGUUGUCCGGAAUUACUGGGCGUAAAGAGCUCGUAGGUGGUUUGUCGCGUUGUCCGUGAAAACUCACAACUCAAUUGUGGGCGUGCGGGCGAUACGGGCAGACUGGAGUACUGCAGGGGAGACUGGAAUUCCUGGUGUAGCGGUGGAAUGCGUAGAUAUCAGGAGGAACACCGGUGGCGAAGGCGGCCUUCUGGACAGUAACUGACGCUGAGGAGCGAAAGCGUGGGGAGCGAACAGG